rnacentral:tRNA from 1 species
GGGCCCGUAGCUCAGCUAGGUAGAGCAUCCGGCUUUUAACCGGGUGGUCCGGGGUUCGAAUCCCCGCGGGCCCG